GAUGAACGCUGGCGGCGUGCCUAAUACAUGCAAGUCGAGCGAACAGACGAUGAGCUUGCUCCUCUGACGUUAGCGGCGGACGGGCGAGUAACACGUGGAUAACCUACCUAUAAGACUUGGAUAACUUCGGGAAACCGGAGCUAAUACCGGAUAAUAUAUUGAACCGCAUGGUUCAAUAGUGAAAGACGGUUUUGCUGUCACUUAUAGAUGGUUCCGCGCCGCAUUAGCUAGUUGGUAAGGUAACGGCUUACCAAGGCAACGAUGCGUAGCCGACCUGAGAGGGUGAUCGGCCACACUGGAACUGAGACACGGUCCAGACUCCUACGGGAGGCAGCAGUAGGGAAUAUUCCGCAAUGGGCGCAAGCUUGACGGAGCAACACCGCGUGAGUGAUGAAGGUCUUCGGAUCGUAAAACUCUGUUGUUAGGGAAGAACAGAUGUGUAAGUAACUAUGCACGUCUUGACGGUACCUAAUCAGAAAGCCACGGCUAACUACGUG
rnacentral:rRNA from 1 species